UACAGAGGUCUCAACCGUUGUUCGGAUUCAUUGGGCGUAAAGGGUGCGUAGGCGGUCUGGCAAGUCGGAUGUGAAAACUCAGGGCUCAACCCGGAGACGCCAUCCGAUACUGCUGUGACUUGAGUCUGGUAGGGGAACACGGAAUACCUGGUGUAGCGGUGAAAUGCGCAGAUAUCAGGAGGAACACCGAUGGCGAAGGCAGUUCUCUGGGCCGUAACUGACGCUGAGGAGCGAAAGCGUGGGGAGCGAACAGG
rnacentral:rRNA from 1 species